GGACAGAAAGACCCUAUGAAGCUUUACUGUAGUUUGGAAUUGGGUUCGGGCUCUUCUUGCGCAGCCUAGGUGGGAGGCUACGAAGAUAAACUUUUGGGUUUAUUGGAGCCAACAGUGAGAAACCACUCUAGAGGAGCUAGAAUUCUAAUGGCGUUCCUUGAAGCAGGACGCUUGACAGUUUCAGAUGGGCAGUUUGACUGGGGCGGUCACCUCCUAAAAGGUAACGGAGGUGUGCAAAGGUUCCCUCAGGCUGGACGGAAAUCAGCCGUAGAGUGUAAAGGCAGAAGGGAGCUUGACUGCAAGACCUACAAGUCGAGCAGGGGCGAAAGCCGGCCUUAGUGAUCCGACGGUUCCGAGUGGAAGGGCCGUCGCUAAACGGAUAAAAGUUACUCUAGGGAUAACAGGCUGA
rnacentral:rRNA from 1 species